GUUUCUUUCUUUUUUCUUUGCAAAUUAGUCUGUUUCCUAAUAUUUCUGUGUAUUGUGUGUGUGUGUGUGUGUGUGUGUGUUACAAGCCUAUACAUACAUACAGACAGACAGACCCUCACUAAGCAUAGAAGGACGGAGAGAGGAUUACAGUCUUGAGCAGGCCAGCCACACUCCCCAGUCCACACCGCACCACACAGCCCCCUCUUUCAUCUUACCACACCACACACCACCACAUCACAGUCCUCUCUUUCUUCCCUAGUGGACAAGAGGUAGGAAAAGAGAAGAAAGUGGAGAAAGAAGAACUGGGAGAAAAGGGAAGGGAAACAGCUGAAGAAGGAGGAAAUAGGAACAGGAAAGGAAAAGAAAUAAGAACAAGAAAGAAGAGAGAUUGAAGAACAAAAGAUAACAGGAGAACAAGAAUAGAAGUAAAGUCGAUGUAGUGUUUUCAGGAGAACAAGAACAGAAGUAAAGUCGAUGUGGUGUUUUCAAGUCUGUUCUGUUUGUUGUUCUGUUUGUAGCAUCACAGGAAGGAAGGACUGUGUGUGUGUGUGUGUGUGUGCUUGUUUAUCUUGCCAUAGGAAGGAAAGAUUAAGUGUGUGUGUGUGUGUGUGUGUGUGUGUGUGGUGGUGGUGAGCACAGAAACACCCACAAACAACUGGCAAGGAGUGUGGCGGCUCGAGAACAAAAGCAAACCCAAACUUAAAAUAAAGCUAAUAAUUAAAUAAAUGUAUGCAGUAUAAAGCUUGUGAAUGUCGUGAGGUUAAUCCAGAAGUAAAACUAAAUCACUGAUGUACAAACUCACAAACGAACAGCACAACUAAAAACUAAAUGGACGUAUUUAAUUAUAAACUUGUGAAUGUUGUGAGAUUAAAGAACUAAAACUAGAUCAAACUAAAUAACCUACAUACAUACAUACAUACAUACACACAGACAGACUAAGCUUUUUAAACAUGGUAUGGUAAUAAUGGUCUAUAAACUAAAUAAAUUGGCGCAUGUACUGAGCUCGUACACGGAUUAAUUCAGACGUAGCCAAAUCAUCGGCGUACAUGAAGUUAUAAACGCAACGAAGUGAGAUUCGAAAGAUAUAAAUGUAGUGAAAUAAUCUCAGUAGUUGAUAAAAGGCUUGGAGGUUAAUAUACAGAGGAGAGAGAGAAAGAAAGAGAGGGAAAAGAAAAAAUGUGAUUAAUUUACUGAGAGAAUGAGAGACAGAGAAAAAAUUACAGAGAGGAAGAAAGAGGGAAAAAAGUUGAUUAAUUAGCAGAGAAAGAGAGAGGGAAAAAAAGGAGAUUAAUUUUGGGGAAAAAAAAAGAGAGAAGGGAGGGAAAAAUAAAAAAAAAAAUUGAGGCAGGAAAGAUAAUACAAAAAAAAGAAAAAGAGAGACUGAGGAUUAGUGCAGUAAAGUCUUUCAGCUCUCAAAACCAAUUACAGCAAGAACCAUUUGUCAAUUCCCUUUAUCAUUAUUAUUAUAAUUCCAGGUGAAAACGAAGGGCAGGAAGAAACACAAGAAAGUCACAAAACAGUUGAAGCAGUGUUGCAGAAAACAAAAAAAGACAAUACAAGGAGAAGGAAUGAGUUCAACGCUGCAACACUUAAGACAAUACAACAAGAAACACACUUCACCCUGAGACAAGACAAGACAACACAAAACAGGACAAGACAAAGUGGUGAUGACAGUGGAGGUGUGGCAAUGUGAAGUGUACACCCUGUCACAGCUGCCAACACGAGAAGCUACACUUUGGGAGCGCAAGAAACACUGGUUGUUACUGGCGGAGGUGGUAACACUGCCGCCCAACACUGCCGCCCAAAAAUGGGUUUGCAGGAAGGAGAGGAGAAAGCAAAUCAUUGACAGAAGGUGGUUUUUUAGAAGGUUGGAUUCUGAAGGGAAGGAAAAUAAGCCUGAAAGGAACAAAAGGGAAUAAACAAAAGAGAGAGAGAGAGAUGAGUGUGUGGAGGAAGAUACAAUUGGUUUUUGAAGAUUUAACAAGGUUUUGAGUUUGAAAGGAACAAGAGGAAACAAAGAAAAGGUGGUUUGGAGAUUAUUGAAGAAGUUACAGUGUCUUAAGAAGAUUAAGAAGGAGAAACAAGAUUGAGUUUGGAAGGAACAAGAGGUGGUUUGGAUAUUACUGAAGAAUACAGCAUCUUAAAGAGGAUUAUGGAGAGAGAGUGAGAGAAGUGUGUGAAAGAAGAUAGUUGGUUUUUUGAAGGUGAUUUUGAGGGAAGAAGAGAUGAAAGUGAUGAGAUGAUUGUGAGAUGGUGAAUGUGCAAGUUGAAGAUUGUGAAGGAGUAAAAAAAUGACAAAGAAAAGACAAUCAUGUACAAAACACAUUAUAUUGUAAAAGACAGAUUUGAGGCAAGAAAAAUUGGACAGAGUAUAAAAAAAAUGAAAAAAUUCAGACGAAAUAAUAUGACGAGGAUUAAAAAAAUGGAAAACACAGAAAAUAAAAACAUUAAAAGACAAACACAAAGCAAGAAAAUCAGACAAGAAUUAGUAAAAACACACUGAAGACAUAAAACAUUGGCACAGAAACCCAAACAAACAGGCAGACAGUUUGUAGACAGACAGACAGACAGACAAAACACACAAUCACAUACAAAAGACAAGAGAAGAGAAACAUGACAAUAGAAAAACAAAAACAAACAAACACAAUAGACUAAAAGACAGAGAAAGAGAAAAUUUUGAAGCAGCAACAAGAUUAAGAACAAAAGAAAACAAGAAGUAAAAGAAGACAACCUGAUAAAAUAAUAAAAACGUUUGUCAAUUUAGAAAAUAGAAGAAAAACCCUGCAAUAAUUGUAGACCUGAACACUUUGAAGCCUAGACUCUUAUGCAUGAUAGCCCUAACUAGGCCUACAGCUCCCCUACCCUGUCCUGCCCUCAACUUAGGCCUAACUCAGGUCAACUUGGGUCGCUGGCACCACCUACUACUUGACCUGUGACCUGUGAAGUGUAUAUUCGUUCGACUGUAUUGCAAGGUCACAGAUAUGACUUGGUGGGGUUCUCAAGGGUGUUUUUCCUCUACUAAUGAUGCAGAAAGCUUGUUAAAAAUGGUGGUGUUUAAUGCAAGGCUCUGCAGUAGUAGUAGUAGUAGUAGUCAUGGUGCUGCUGGUGGCCUGUUCCUGACUAUAUAUGUACAUUUGUGUUCUUAAAGUGAGGCUCAGUAGUAGUAGUAGUAGUAGUAGUAGUAGUCAUGGUGUUAGGUGACUUGUAUCUGACUAUUUGUACAUCUUUGUGUUCUCCUAUAGUAGUAGUAGUAGUAGUAGUAGUAGUGCAUCCCUCACUUAAGUACAUCUUGGUGUUGUCUUGACUACAGGCCCUUUAGUAGUAAUGGCAGUCAUGGUAUUAGUGGUGCUUAGAGACCUUGCAGCAGCAGCAGUAGUAGUAGUAGUAGUAGUAGUCGUAGUAUUAGUAGUGUUCUUGACCCCAGUAGUAGCAGUAGAAGUGAUGGUAUAGCACUACAUGAAGACCCUGUAGUAGUAGUAGUGGUGGUGGUGGUAACCUGAGACGCUGAAGUAUUGAUGGUGUGGCAUUGCAUGAGGACGUAGUAGCGGUAGUAGUAGCAGUAGUAGUGGUGGUGGUGGUGCUGCGUCCCUUCCUAUAUGUACAUCUCGGUGUUCUUCUUCACCUGGGGGCCGGUGGUGGCAUGCUGCACAGCCCAGUCGGCAUCCGGGGCCACAUCUGCGCCAUCAGCUUCAUGGGUGCGGUAGUCCCCCUUGUGACGCGCCAUGUACCGGCCGAUCAGGAACCCCAUGCACAGCAAUGCGAGGAAAAUGAUACCAAGAACUCCUGAGGGGCAGAGCAGCAACUGUCAGGAAAAGUGAGCAAGACAGAUGAACACAAUACUACCAGUGCAAUGCUACACUCUGGUACACAGUGAGGAAGCGAGGUACAGAAACACUUUACAAGAAGGUACGUACUCUACCAAUUACACUGAAGGACUCUACAAACAAUGCUACAAAACUACACUUAAUAUGAAGGUAUGGACUCUACAAACAAUGCUGUGUGGCCCUAAGUAAACACGUUCUACUUGACAAAGCAUGAUUUCUAAGUCAACAAACUCUACACAAACCACACACUAUUCUAAACAAGUUCUCUACCCAACGAGCAAUAUUCUAAGUAAACAAACACCAUUAACAUCACAAUAUUCUACAUACAGAAACACUACAAAAUAUUCUAAAGCAAACACAACAUGACAAGUACUUAAACUCUACAAAACAAAACAAAAAACUUAUGAUAAAACUUGCAAUCAAAACUGUAAUCAAGGAAUAUUAUAAUGACGAACACAGACACAGCAAACUCAAAGAAACAUUAACAAAAAACAAAAUAAUACUGACACUACUUUCUUUACAGGCACCUCACGAGUCCCAAGGAUAAAACAAGAACCAGAAAGGAGGAGGAGAAACAUGCUAGAGGAACAAGAAAGAAGGAAGGAUAUGCAGGGAGAAAAGGAGAAGGGUAUGAAGAAAGGAUGUGAAGGAAGGAGAGAAAACAAGGAAAGAAGAAAGGAUAAGCAGGAUUUUACAGCUCAAACCACACGGCAAGCCAGAUUAGUGAAGAAAGAAGACAGAGAGAACACACAGCAAGCUAGAUAUUACCAGCCAGAAGGGACACAAGACAACACAAGCCAUAGACCACAAGCCAGAAGAGACGCUAAACUACUAUAAGCCAGAUAACACAAGGAGUGACUUAGCUACACUGCAAGACAAAGAUCAGCAAAAACAGCCACACAGAUGAACAAGCCAGAACACAAGCCACUACAAGCCACACACAUGGGCCACCGCAGCCAGGCACUCACCCCCAAGGACCGCAGAAUUGUCCGAGUAUAAGCCCAUGAGCACGUCCUCCGACACUUCCGGUGGUGGCCGUGUCUCUGCCUCUUCCUCGGGGUACCUAAUGGGCUCGAUCCCGCAGUAGUCCUCGAAGACGGAGGAUGCUGUGGAAGAGAAGGAUGUUGUUGGUCUGUCCGCGUCCUACAGUGACUUCUCAACAAUGUAGGAUAUUGGGGAGAAAGUGCCUGACGGUGGAGGAUGUUAAGGGGAAGGAAGAAUGGUUACUGCUGGGCUGUUUGCGUCCUACACCGUGUAUGUGCUGUGGGAUGACGGAUGGUUACGAAUGAGUCCUUGAGUUGAAGGUGGAAGGUGGCUGAGGAAAUGGAAGGAUACAAUUAGCUUGCGUCCGACAGUUUUAGUCCUAGGUGUAGAAAUGAAGGAAAUAAGGGUAUGUGGUCUCUCUCUCUCUCUCUCUCUCUCUCUCUCUCUCUCUCUCUCUCUCUCUCUCUCCACAGCCCCACAGUAUGUCCCCCACAGUAAACAAUCACUCACAACACCCCCUCACAAACAUACAAACUCACACAUACACCCUCCCUCUCUCUUACAAACCUAAACACACACACACCAACACUUUUUCUCAAACACAACCACACACUUGUCCUCCCAGCAACCCACGCCUGUUCCCCACACCCGCACCAAACUCACAGCAGCGUUCCGGUACGCCACACAAGCCACCGUGUACGCCUGCCACAUGGCCGCGCUGUGUACGGAUGAGCGUGUGCGUGUAGGGAUGUGUGUGCGCGCACUGCUGUCACCUGCUGCACUGACUGUCAUGGACCUUACCUGUCUAGCUCUUUGUCUUCUCUGUAUCCUCCUCCUCCUCCUCUUGCUUCCUCCUCCUCCUCCUCUCUGUCUGAAACCUUAUAGCAGUUUCUGUUACUACUACCACUACAACUUUUUUCUAUUUUUUUUUUUUU